UCGGGCCCCUUCCCAAUCAGGAAACUUGGGUGAUGAGGGGCAGCGAAGGGGUGGGGUGGGAUCUUGGUCCAGCUGGUACUGGAGCGGCGACAAUUUUGGCUAGUCUAAGAAGGGCAUUCGAGUGACCGUUGACAACGGGUGGGACAGCGUCAGAGCUGGAGGGAGAGCCAGCACUGUAUGCUUCCAGGACUUCUUGCUAGGUGCAUUAGUUUUUAUUUUUAAGAGUUGGGUAAAAGACAUUAAUUAGUUAGCAUCUCACUCAUCGGCGAUUUUCUACGGUAUGAUUUCAUCCAAAGAGGAUUUCUUAAUCGCACUGUGUGACACCGUUAGGGGACUUAGAGUGUCACUCGCCGCCUUAAAUCCUUUCGGGAACAAGCCAGGAUAUAAAUAAAUAAAGCUAGGUGUGGGUCUUCCCUUCACAAGGCGCUGGUAGGCAGACUAAAGACAGGCAACAGCUGGGUGUGCACACGGAACUAAAUAUUGAACGAAAUACGAGUGUCGGAAUAAAAUUCAUUGCCAUGUGCACGGCUUAUGAUUAUACAGAUCUUGGACAUAUCACGGACCUGAACGUCAACCCUACAACACCGGAUGAAACAUCUAAUGUAGCUGGAAUAGACUCUGAAAGGACGUUAGGCAUUAUCUAAAUCAAGUCCCUCGUUUUACAGAUGAGUAAACUGACUCAGUGAAGUAUUUUGCUCAAGGUCGUUCAUCAAAUUAGUAGUUUAAUUAACUCAGUGUUCUAGGAAGCAGGGUAGUAGAAAAGCAUGGGAUUCGGAGUCUGAAAUCUUCCUUGGUUUCUGGUCCUUGUAGGCUGUUUUACAAGUGUAUCUUGGGCAAAUCCCUUAACGUGUUGCCAUUUAUUAAGGGCUUACCACGUGGCAAACAAUCCACUUUGCAUGCUGUGUCAAUUACAUGCAGUAUGUCGUGUAGUUAUUACUGUCCCCAUUUUAUGAGGUAGUUUAGGUUUAAAGAUAUUAGAAAUUUACCCAAAGUUACGCAGUUAUAAACAUUGUAGUAAUUUCAAACUCAGGUCUUCGUGACUGCAAAGGCUGUUGUCUUAAGUAUUGCAAUACAUUAGAGCUCCGGAUUCCCUCCCACUCAAAACAGAGACUGAGACUCCAACCAAUUUCCACCAUUCUUGGGAGUCAAACGAGAGAGACUGUGGCAAUGUAUUCUAAGCUGUACAAAGGUAUAAACAUAUUCACUAGAUUUGUAGAAUGAAGAUAUUCCUUCCCUAUACUUUGCACUACAACAAUUCAACCAAAAAGAUGGCUUUCAUACUAAGCUAGCAUAAGAAGGAACUUCACUGUAAUUAUGAUAUUCUAACCAAGAAUAUAUGCAUAUCUAGGCAAUAACCAAAGUGAAUAGAAUAAAAUUUAAUUCCUGAUAGAUUAAAUAGGCAAUAGCAAGGAAUGCUAACGCUCCUCAUAGCGUUCUUGUUGGAAGAAUCAUCUAGGAGGCAUUGGGAUUUCUGGUGCUUUUUAAGCAAUGAGAGAUAUCAGUCCACUGAAUGAGGAAAAGAAUAACGUUUAGUUUGGGACUAAAAGUUCAUCUGGACUACGGAAAACACGUUUGCCUCAAUCAGUGAAGAAGGUAUGCUGAGAGCUGAAAGAAAAGGAAAGCAGCAACAGUGAGAGCUCAGAAAUUCCCAGACUCUUUUGAUGAUAAGGUCCAAGAACUUGCCAUGUGAUCCAUCACUACCAGACUCCCACAACUGCAUUAGAUUUGUUCAGGAUUUUCAUAUAAUUUUCAUAACUGGCUAAGUUCUGAAAUAACCCAUCUUGAAGACAUAAACAAUGUGCAUUGAUGGCUAGCCAGACUCUGUCCUGCCACAGUUCUCCUCCUGCUCUUCAUUUCUUACCCCAAGGAGUAGUAAAUAUGAAUCCUGACCCACCAAUGCAGUCCCAGAACUGAGAAAAGAUUCACUGCAGCUAAACAGUGGGUAGAAAUAAAAACAAUGACUCAAUUCAAUAAUAUUAAGUGUGUUGGGAAGACAGUCUCCAAGAGAAACGAUAAAUAACCUACAUAAUGAAGAAUUAGUUAGCAGUGUUAUGUAAAUAUUGUAGCAGCAUCAAUGAGGAGGAUUAUUUUUGCACCUUUGGAAAGCAACUGAAAAAGGAAGCCUGGAAAAAAUCCUGCCUAACAAAGCAGCAGUACUCAAAUAGCUUUAACUAUAAGAAAGAACUGAUUCAAGAUAUGAGAAGAGAUUUAAGAUAUAAGAUUAAAUAUAAGUGUAAAUGAUAUCCUCA